rnacentral:rRNA from 1 species
GUGAGGAAUAUUGGUCAAUGGGCGAGAGCCUGAACCAGCCAAGUCGCGUGAAGGAUGAAGGUUUUAUGAAUUGUAAACUUCUUUUGCAGGGGAAUAAAGUGCAGGACGUGUCCUGUUUUGUAUGUACCCUGAGAAUAAGGAUCGGCUAACUCCGUGCCAGCAGCCGCGGUAAUACGGAGGAUCCGAGCGUUAUCCGGAUUUAUUGGGUUUAAAGGGUGCGUAGGUGGUUUGAUAAGUCAGCGGUGAAAGUUUGCAGCUUAACUGUAAAAAUGCCGUUGAAACUGUCGGACUUGAGUGUAAAUGAGGUAGGCGGAAUGCGUGGUGUAGCGGUGAAAUGCAUAGAUAUCACGCAGAACUCCGAUUGCGAAGGCAGCUUACUAAGCUACAACUGACACUGAAGCACGAAAGCGUGGGGAUCAAACAGGAUUAGAUACCCGAGUAGUCC